UCACGGAAGAAGCCAGGAACUGGAGCCCCCGCUGGGACCCUAGACAGCUGCUCGCUGCCCAAGCCCCCUGGGGGUUCAUCUCAGCUUCUCUCUGUGCACCUGUUCAUUCUUCUCUCUACGCCGGUUUCCCUGCUCCUCUCCGCUCACUGCCAGAAUGACCUCCCUCCUCUCUUGAAACCACCAGUCCUCGGGUGAAGGGCCAGCAGAGACGGACCUGACAGGCCAGGCUGCUACAGCGACCUCUGCCUCUGACCUUGGCCAAAUGAACACGUGUCUGUGCGACAUGACUGGUUGGCUUCAAGGCGGUUGGCAGAAUUCGUUUUGUGAGGAGACAAGAUCAAAGAAUGAAGCAAAACACAGC